rnacentral:misc_RNA from 1 species
AGCAAGAUCCGAGAGGAGU